AUACUGAGGGUGCAAGCGUUAAUCGGAAUUACUGGGCGUAAAGCGCGCGUAGGCGGCUAGAUCAGUCGGAUGUGAAAGCCCCGGGCUCAACUCGGGAACUGCAUUCGAUACUGUCUAGCUAGAGUUUGGUAGAGGGUGACGGAAUUCCAGGUGUAGCGGUGAAAUGCGUAGAUAUCCGGAGGAACACCAGUGGCGAAGGCGGCUUCCUGGAUCAAUACUGACACUGAGGCGCGAAAGCGUGGGGAGCAAACAGGAUUAGAUACCCCAGUAGUCC
rnacentral:rRNA from 1 species